rnacentral:rRNA from 1 species
UAGGGAAUCUUCCACAAUGGACGAAAGCCUGAUGGAGCAACGCCGCGUGUGUGAUGAAGGGUUUCGGCUCGUAAAACACUGUUGUAAGAGAAGAAUGACAUUGAGAGUAACUGUUCAAUGUGUGACGGUAUCUUACCAGAAAGGAACGGCUAAAUACGUGCCAA